rnacentral:lncRNA from 1 species
AUGUGGCAGCUGCGUGGGCAACAUCGUACUUUACAGACGUGGAGUCCCAAGGCCAAGCCGGGACCUCCCACCGGUGCUGCGAGAGCUGCUGCCGAGCAGAAGGUUUGGCUUGUUUGCCGCGUGAGGGACAGGUCUCCCGGGGCCUGGGGUCACAACCCCAGCUUCACACACGGCCCGGAAAGAGGGAAUCCAUGGGAGCAGGGAGCAGGACACACCUCUCCAGCCUCUUCCCUCCGACAAGUCAUGCUGGCACUCGGGCAGCAGGAGCUGGGAAGGCAAAGGGGCCGCCAGUCCCACCCAGCGCAGCACUGGGUCCCAGCUGUUUGGAUGGGCGUCCAUAAGGACCAUCCUCACGGCCUGAGGGGCACAUUUCUCGACUGCCCACGGAGCAGCCACACAGCUCCCCGCCUGCUGAGCCUCCCCAGCCCCUCCUUCUUCACAGCCUGGCCACAGCUCAGGGCAGGUCAGGAGAGGAGGGCAAGAGUCAGGCACCAGCCAGUCGUUCUCCCACCUGUAAGCGGGUUACAGUCCACACCUGGGGCCUGCAGCCGAAACUACAGGAGAGUCAUGCCCCGCCUGGCAGAGUGCCCAGUGGCCACGAAUCACUGCAUGCUGACUUCUCCUUCGCACCGCAGGCAGAACGGGAAACUGGGGCUGGCAACAGUGAGUGGCAUCGUGGGCACCCAGACAGCACCUCCAAGGCUGGGUCACACGCCAUGCGUGCUCAGCCUGGGGGCAGCAUACAGGUGGCCUGCCUGCCCAGUGUCAGCUGCCUGUCUUCCUGGAGGCCUGCAGCACAGGGGACAGAAGACCGUGCUGGGUUGUGCAAUGUGUGUGUGCUCCUGGACUCCCUCUGAGAUGCCUGUCUGCUGCCCAGAACCGUUUGUCCGUAAACACAGCAAGGAGCCCACAGGAGGCCGUGAUGGCACAGGAGCUGCAUUGCACAACUGCUUCCGAUUUUGUUCCCAGUUAACUGAGGAGGUGGCUGCCUGCAAGAGGUGGGUCCCGGGCAGACACUGCUGUUCCCUCUGUUCUCGUGUUGUUUGCGAGCACUCGGUCCAGGAAAGAAGCUGCUCCACAGGCAGGCACAGCCCCCCUCCAAGAUCUCCUUCUUUCUCAGCUGCCCUCAUGAAUCCCAGCCACGCCACGACCUGCCUGGCCCCGCCCUGGGCAGGAGUCCAGAGGCUCCAAAGUGUUGUCCCCGAGCCCAGCAGAGAGGGCCCCUCUGCCGAGUGCAGGAGACAGCUCCUCAUGGGCAGGCUCCACUGA